UACGUAGGGUGCAAGCGUUGUCCGGAAUUAUUGGGCGUAAAGAGCUCGUAGGCGGUUUGUUGCGUCGGCUGUGAAAUCCCGAGGCUCAACCUCGGGUCUGCAGUCGAUACGAGCAAACUAGAGUGUUGCAGGGGAGACUGGAAUUCCUGGUGUAGCGGUGAAAUGCGCAGAUAUCAGGAAGAACACCCGUGGCGAAAGCGGCUCUCUGGAACGGUACUGACGCUGAGGUGCGAAAGCGUGGGGAGCAAACAGG
rnacentral:rRNA from 1 species